UUGUGAAAUCCCUCGGCUCAACCGAGGAACUGCUUGGCGAACCACAAAUCUUGAGGCUGGUAGAGGUGGUCGGAACAAUAGGUGGAGCGGUGAAGUGCGUAGAUAUCUAUUGGAACACCGAAGGUGAAGACAGGCCACUGGGCCAGUCCUGACGCUGAGGCACGAAAGCGUGGGUAGCAAACGGGAUUAGAUGCCCCGGUAGUCCACGCCGUAAACGAUGCGCACUUGGUCGAGGGGGUUGAACGCCUUCUCGGCCGUAGGAAAACUGAUUAGUGCGCCGCCUGGGGAGUACGGUCGCAAGAUUAAAACUCAAAGGAAUUGACGGGGGCUCACACAAGCGGUGGAGCAUGUGGCUUAAUUCGAAGCAACGCGAAGAACCUUAUCCUAGGCUUGACAUGCACGGAUUAACCUCCUGAAAGGGAGGCAACACUCGCAAGAGUGGAACGUGCACAGGUGCUGCAUGGCUGUCGUCAGCUCGUGCUGUGAAGUGUCGGGUUAAGUCCCUCAACGAGCGCAACCCCUGUCACUAGUUGCAAACAGGUAAUGCUGUGGACUCUAGUGAGACUGCCGGUGUCAAACCGGAGGAAGGUGGGGAUGACGUCAAGUCCUCAUGGCCCUUAUGCCUAGGGCUGCACACGUGCUACAAUGGCACCGACAGAACGAUCCGAGACCGCAAGGUGGAGGAAAUCGCUCAAAAGGUGCCCCAGUUCGGAUUGGAGGCUGCAACUCGCCUCCAUGAAGUUGGAAUCGCUAGUAAUCGCGGAUCAGCUACGCCGCGGUGAAUAUGUUCCUGAGCCUUGUACACACCGCCCGUCAAGUCAUGGAAGCCGGUAGCGCCCGAAGUCGCCUCAUUUCAGGGGUGCCCACGGCGAGGCUGGUGACUGGGACUAAGUCGUAA
rnacentral:rRNA from 1 species